AUACUAUGGUGAGGUCAUCUCCUUAAUAACUCCUUAAACCGCUCCAAUACCUCAUAAAGAGAUUCCUCAUCCUGUUGUUGAAAAGAGGUAAUCUCAUUUCUAAGUUU